GAGCGAAGGGGGGCUAGCGUUGUUCGGAAUUACUGGGGCGUAAAAGCGAGUGUAGGUUGGUUGUCAUAGUCAGGCGUGAAAGCCUCAGCUCAACUCGAGAAAUGCGCUUGAUACUGGGCAGCUAGAGGACCGGAGAGGAUAGUGGAAAUUCCCAGUGUGGUGGUGAAAUACGUAGAGAUUGGGAAGAACACCAGUGGCGAAGGCGGCUAU
rnacentral:rRNA from 1 species